CACCUUUUUCAAGGCUCUAGAGGUUUACUUGGGUAUGAUUGUUCUGACUUGAUAAACUAUUUUACCUUUGCUGGAGUUGGAGCUCUGAAAUAUAAUCAAGCUUCAAUAAAUUCGUAAGAAAUACUUGUAAAAUGCAAUUCAAAUAUAUCUUAUAUGAGAAAAAUAGAAAAAUAGAGUGGGUAUUUAUAUUAGGGUAUUGCUAUUAUAGUGGGUAGCAACUGGGCCAUGGAUGGAAUACAGCUUAUUUUUUCUAAUGACAUCAUUUGAGCCCUCAUUUAUCUGGGAAGUGAAAAUCAAUCCCAGUUAUUGCUGUAUCUCUCAAUUUCCCAUUUUCUCUCAAGUUGCAUUCAAGUCCUAGGUUUUACCUGGUACAAUGGGUGCAUCAGUACAGGAAUUUAGGGGAGAGGGUGGGGUAAGCAUUGAUGAGACUUAAGACCUUAAGACCUGAUAAUUUAAGAAAUGUUUUCCCUCCUCUUGUAGGGUUAUCAAGACUGACAUUAAUUCAAAGGUCCCUUAGAAGCCACAUGCACUUCUAGCAAGACUGCCUUCUGCUCUGUUUCCAUGCCUGGAGGCAAUGGGGGCUGGCGAUGAUGUGGAAGAAAGAAGGCAUAAACUGCACAAUGGAAUAUCGUUGGAAAUUGUCUCAUGGACACAAGCUUUGAUUCCACAUCUGUAGACCUGACAGUAAAGGAGAAGAUUCCCCUCCCUUCCUCUCACCAUUCUUCUAAAGCUGGUCUCAAUUCAAGAUAAAAACUUCUUUCAAGAGCAGUUUGAAAAUUGAGGCCAAAAUUUGAAAUAUGCACCGAGCAAUUCUACAAUGAAGAAUGAAGAAUACAUUCUAUGGAAAUAUUCACAAAAGUACUCAAGGAUGUUGGUAAAAACAUUAUCUGCAUGGUGCAAGUGCAAAAGAGACCACAGAUGGAAGCCUGCUGCUCAUACAGCUGUGUCUUUGUUGGGACAUCCAUCGGAGAACAUCUCUAACUCCUUGAACUGUUUGAACUGUUCCUGA
rnacentral:lncRNA from 1 species